GCGCCGGGGGUGUCCCGGACACCGGCCCCCGGGGGGUGGAGGGCGAGGACCUGCCGGCCAGCCUGAUCGCCACCCACCGCGGGCCCGCCUCGGUCCGGCCCGGCCCGGCCCGGCCCGGCCCGGCCCUGCUCCGCCCUGCGAUCCCGUCCGCGGCCGCUGGGCGCCGUCCGAGCUCCGCCCAUAGGGCGCCCUGGCUGGCCGCUGCGCUAGCACCGGGCGGUGGAGGUGACUCGGACCCCGGGCGCCGCCCAGCCGCCCUGGACUCGGAUCGGACCAGGGCUGCCUCCGGCUUGGCCUGGCUCUCGCCUCUCCCCAACGCUGAGUGGAUGCCCACACGCCCCGACGGGUGGUGGGGACAAUUCCUUAUUCUCUGUCCCCAGGAGCUCCUGGCUCUUCAGGCUGCCAUGCCAGCUCCUUCCAGCUUCCGCCUGGAUGGCCUCAGUGACCUUUAAUUUUCUAAUCCGUUAAAGAGGGGAUACUCGCACGCACCUGAGAUUCUUGGAUCAAGAACUCUGUUAAUAUCAGGGAAGUGGAAUCUAUCAGGAAGGAACCCAAACCUGGAGCCACUUAGGCAUCUUCCUGUAAGGCCAUACAUGUGAACCUCCACAACCCCGAGUCGCAUAUUGGAGGCCUGAUGUCUUCCUGAUUCUGGAAAAGCCCUUUCUGAGGAGGUGUGCGGGUCCCGGCGCUGGCAUGGUGCCUCGGCCUCCUGCCCCCACCGCGCGCCCUUGGAAAUCCCUCCCAUCUGGCACCUGCCAGAGGCAAGAGUUGUUGAGCGAAGGAGAGAAGGUCUAGAGAGGCGUUUGAAGACAAUCCGAUGUGCCUGUGAUUUGUCUGUGUGCUCCCCUCCACCCCCUCCAAGAGCAGAACAGAUUGACCCAGGAGACACAAAAUCAAGCACUCUUGCUAGGUCGCUCCCUGGGGACCCAGCAGCGACUAGUAGGCGGCAGGGGCUGCACAGUUCAUUGCUGGCUGUUACUGUUGCUAAGUUUACAAGGUGGUUGUGCAGAUCAAGUGGAAAGCUGUCAAAAUCCUCAUCGGGCGCUCAAAACACCUUUUUGCCUCCACCAUCAUUGCCUAACAGGGCAAGAAAGAGGGGUGGGAGUGGGCAGCUUGGGCUUGGCAGAAGGGAUGCAGACCACGGGGUCUGUGGCUCCCAGCACAUGCCUGCCUUGGCCCUCACCCCAGAAAAGAAGCGUCGUCUUGAGUGACACUGGGAAAUUUUGCUCACGUUGAUACGGCGCUUUCUAUCUCAUAAAAUCAGAAGAUUGGGCGCCUGGGCCCAAAUUCCCAUCUGGCCACAAUGAGCAUCUGAAUGGGGCACUUGCCCCCGUGUGCCUCGGUCCCCCCAAGGUGUUACCCUGGUGGGGGGAGGGAUGUCUGCCUCUAUUUUAAGGGUCCACAGCCUGCCUCUCGAUUGAUUCCAAGGUCCUGAAUGGUGUAGCAGCCGACAGGCAACCCAGAGCCUCUGUAGCCCUUCCUAUUUGAUUCAAGGUCCCUUGCUCCGUGGCACAGGUCAGGGGCCUGAGGCACCCAGAGGGGCCUGACUUACCCCAGGGCACGUGGUGAGUAACCAGAGGAGGCGUGUUGAGAUUGGGGUCCAGGGCAGACCGGGGGCGACCACCUCAGCUGAGGCCAGCUUCUGCCUGCCUCCACUGGUUUCCUAAGGCUGGCGUAGCAAAGCGUCACAAACUGGGCGGUCCCGGGAGCCAGAAGCGCUUCAAGCUCUGACGGUCUUGGAGCCCACGAAGAGGUCCUUGUUGCCCGCUGAGGGGCUCUGCCGACAAGAAGACUGGGAUUGUCCUGUGACCGGUAAAGUAACAACGAGUUAACUUUCGUGUCCUGAGCCCUUCUAAUGUGCCAAGCUCUGUGCUAAAUGCUUGACUCGCCAAUCUCAACAAGUCCCAUUAAGUGAAUGAUGGUAUCUGCCUAUUUUUCAAACGAGGAGACAGGUUCAGAGAGGUUUAGAGGCUCGCCCAAUGUUGCACAGCUGGGUUGAGACUCCAACCCAGGUCUGGGGGCGGGGGUGCUCUUCCAAAUAUCUGGCCUUCUGCCUUGCGGCUCCUCUGGGUGUGGGCCUCAGAGGGUCUGCACAAGCAGGAGUAAGGAGCUGACCCCUGCUCUGUCACAGCCCCUGGGCAUCACACUGUGGAGCCGCCCUGCCGCCUGCCUGUCGCCCAGGCCCCUAUCUUUAGAAAGUUCCUUGACCCUUGCCCUCCCUCCUGUCAGCAAGGGCAACCUUGUUUUCUCCAUCUGCCUCCCAUUAAGGCCCUGUCACUCAGAGCCUCUGAUUUUCAAGUGCUGAACCUUCUCUCUUCUUUCCUUGCCACUGCCCCUCGCUGCCCUGCCAGCCUAGCCACCUCCGGCCACCCAAUUCCAGGAUUCCUGGGCAGCCUGGGUGUCCUGGAGCCAGGCACUGAGUGCUCGGACUCUGGCUGAUCUGUCCCUGCCCCAGGGAGCUUGGGAGUCCCUCUGACUGCGCAAUGUGUAGAGAGGGAUAGCCUUAAUAUACAAAGAACUGUUGAAAAUCAACAACAAGCAGGCAAAAGCUCUAACAGAAAAAUGGGCCGAGGACACACCCCGGUGAGUCACAAAGGAUGAGAAACUGUUAACAGGCAUGAAGGGAGAAGUCUAGCCUCUCCAGGUAUCCAACGCCAACAGUGAUAAGAGCUGCCCUAUGGGAUUUACCUCAUAUGAGACUCUGCCCCAGAGCGCUUCAACAAAGUGAGUCCGAGAAUAGUAGGUACUGUACGAUUCCCCCUUGGGAAAAAGUGCCAUGUAUAUGUGUGCCCACGUAUGCAUGUGUACGGAGGCAGGGGUCAUUGCCAUGGCCCCACGGCAAGAUGUCAGCGGUGAUGGCUUCCGGGCGCUGGGAUCUCGGGAAGUUUUUUCUUCUUUGUG